UUUAAAACUGUCCAGACUGAGACAGUCUCUCUCUUUCGAUCAAGUCCAGAAGAUAAAGAUCACAAUUUACCCAUAGCAUGGAAACCAUGAACUGAACCAGAAUUUUAGGAGCUGGUGGUCCCUACUGGAACAGAAUUUUGUGCCAUGGUGACUUUGGAAUCAGGAUUUCAGGACUUUGAAGUUUUUUGCUUGGAAGCUCUGAAUCAAAGAAUUGUUUUGGAGACUAUGGGACUAUUAUAUCUUAAUUUAUGUCAUAUCUGACAGUAAUGUGGAUUUUGAGCUUUUCAUAUUCAUGAUAAGGCUUUGAUUUGAGGCAUUAGAAGCCAGAGAAAACUCAGAGGAACCAACUAGAGGAGCUGCUUACGGAAGACAACACAGGAGCCAGCAAAGCCAGGAGAAAAGAUGCUGAGACAUUGGGAGGGAAGGGCAAAUGAGACUGGCAGACAGGAGACAAAUAAGCUCUGCAGUCGACGAAGGGAGGCGAUCUGAUUGGAAGAUUCUGGGAGCUGAUUGGAGAAAGCAGUAUCUGAUGCAUGAAAAGCUGGCUGGAGAAGGCUCUCUACUUCCAUUCAUAGCUUGAAGAAAGGAAACCCUCCAAACCCUACAUUGCUUUUUACUGCCCUCUAUGGCUCAAGAGGGGAAUCUCCCUUGAAGCUGUUAGAGAAAUGAAUGGCUUCUCAGAUUCCCAUGGAUACUGUGUGCAUUAGUGGGAGCACUGGAGCCUUAGUGCCAGGAAGACCUGUGUUCAAAUCCAACCUCAGAUACUUCCUAGCUGUGUGAUUCUGGCCAAGUCACUUAACUGC